rnacentral:lncRNA from 1 species
CCAGAAUUUAGGAAUAAGAAUGUAUAGAAUUUCAUCACUAUUGCAUCAUUCCUAUAGACCUUGGCAGCCAGAAUCCAUCUUAAAAUAGUGGUCUUCAAACUGAGGCACCUGUAUCUCCUGAGGUGCAGCAACACCAAUUUUAUACAGCUGUGCAGCAAAGGCCCUGGAGUAGAAGAUACUCUUUACAGAGGCCCAGGAGAAAAUAUGAACAAAAAUUGGUGAAGGCCAUCACCAGACCUAGCAGUUGCAUCCUGUUCAGCACCACAGACAGCUCCCUCGCAAAUGCCAUCCUUUCAAAAGAUUCAUAGCAUGAAAGUAUUAGCAAGCCAUGCCUUCUUCAAUUUGGG